GAUUUGGAAACCUAAAUGGGCGAAUUCUGGAAGGGAUUUGUUCAAUUCUUCCAAGUUGAAGGAUAAGUUUCCGUCUUCUUGCUUUGUGGGAUCGAUUUCUAGAUUGAAUUCUUUGAAAAUUCAGCUACCGAGAUGCUUGAAUUUGACGUCAAAUUGUGGGGAUGAAAAAGAAAUUCUGGCUGACUCACCUACCGCUUCCAUCUCCAGUUCAUCAAAACUAG
rnacentral:misc_RNA from 1 species